GGUGAGAGGCGUGACACUCUGGCCAAGUAAGUCAUAAUGGUAAUAGAAACGUUUUUUGUUUGUUUGUUUGUUUGUUUGUUUCAUGUUAUGCAUAAACCUUUCAGUAACAAGUAUAUUUGCUACAGAGUGGUUUUCAACCCUGGCUGCACGUUAAAAUCACCCGGGGAACUUUUGCAAAACACCGCCGAUGCUUGGGCUCCAUCCGGAAGCAGUGAAAUCAGAAUGUCUGGGGGCUGGGUUUUCUCAGAGCACCCCAGCUGGUGGUUUUCUGCACCAGGGGCGUCAGAAGCUGCUGUGGGGACUCGGGGAGGUUGGUUAGAGCAGGCUGAGGUCGAGAGUAGCCAAAGAAAGGAAAGGAAGCAGGGCUUAUCGGGGUGGGGGUAUGGUUGGUAGUGCUCCUCGGAGAAACUGGGAGCGGGGAGCGAGUUUUAACUCUGCUUUGAUGUUAUCAGGCUCUGGGGCCCUUCUGGUAGUUAGUAAAUGUGGUUCAUCAGGCUCCCGUAGCUCAUUGUUCACAUACUUCAAGGCUGGAGAACUUCACAACUGUCAUGGCCACUUCUUUGGACCCUUCCUCAGCUGCCUCACUCCCACUGGACGUGUCUCCCACACACCAGGCACUGUCCUAGGUACAUUACACUUACCAUAUGUAAGUUGCAUGUGGCCCAGAAGCCAGUGUUCUGCUGCCCAUUAUACAGAGGAGAAAACUGAGGCCCAGAGAGGCUAAAUCAUUUGCCCAGGGUCCCCAAACGUGUAAAUAGUGGAGAAGAGAAGGGGAAGACACUUGUUUCUGUCUCUAAAGACAGCCUCCUCUUUACACUGUACUCAGUAGCUCCUUAGCUUGUCCUGUUGGUGCCUUGGUGGGAAGGCCUUUGGCUUUCUUCUUUCAGAUAGUGAGGGAAUAUGAGAUGUGAAGGCAGCUUCUGAAGAGAUCACCUCUGACAUUGGGCAGGGCAAGGUAGUGUAAUGAAAACAUGCAAAUGAGCUGGGGCUGCGAGCCACAGGGCUAGAAAUUAGACCUCAGGCCGGAAGAAAUUAAAUGGCAGGGCAGUUCCAAUGUGAACACGCUGGGGCGCCUGGGUGGCUCUGUCAGUUAAGCGUCCGACUUUGGGUCAGGUCAUGAUCUCGCGGUUCGUGGGUUCGAGCCCCGCGUCGGGCUCUGUGCUGACAGCUCAGAGCCUGGAGCCUGUUUCGGAUUCUGUGUCUUCUCAGUCUGCCCCUCCACCACUCACACUGUGUGUGUGUGUGUGUGUGUGUGUGUGUGUGUGUGUGUGUGUGUGUGUGUCUCUUUCUCUCUCAAAAAUAAAGAAACCUAAAAAAAAUGUGCACAUGCUUUUUGUUUAACUACCAUGCCUUUGAUGUCUGUGACGUUACUUAAUCUCUCUGCUUGUCUUGUUUUGAUACGGCAGGCCUGUGUGGUGGUACCUGUGUGUUCAGGAUGGACUCCUGGCCUCCCCCCUUCAGGUGACCCAUGCUAAUGCUGGCCUUAAGACGUAGCUCAGUCCGUGCUGUCCAUCACUCCACUCUCUGCCUUCCAGAACAAAUGGACCGUGUGUGUCUCUUUCCCUUGACAAGAUGUUCUAUAAUCAUAUUUUCUGGCCUAAAACAAAAUUAGUCUCUUAAAUGUAAAACUCUUCUCCUGCACUUUUCUUAAUGGAUCGCUUUCCUUCGGGGAUUAUAAUGCUUAGUAGAAGGGGCCAACCCAUCUGUUUUCGCACCAUCUAGGGAGAAGAAGGUGUUAACCAUUUGCUGAGGAGGAAACUAAGGUUCUGUCCGUGUUGAAGGCAGACAAAACUUUUGUUGGGAGUCAGUCUCUAGGCCUUAAACCCAGGACGUGUCUGAAAGAAUUGUCAUGGCCCCUAACUUUGUGAUACCUCAUAUCUACCGGGGUUUGUUUGUUUGUUUGUUUUUUCCUGUGUGUGAAACAAGUAAUUUUCUGGCAUCAGUUGUUCAUAUCUGUGAUUUGGAGUCAUGGCCAUGUGCCUUCUUAUGUGAUGACCAGCUAAGUUCACGCAUCAGGAGCCCCCACUGUUCACACCUGGCCUCCCGCCUUCUUUACAUCUGGGAGGCAGAAGCCCUAGCAGAUUGGCAGACCCGCCCCCCCCAAGGGGUUGGAUAGGGAAAACUUUCAUUCAAACAACUCAGAAUGACCCGUGUUGGUCUGUUCUAAGUUUGAAUUCUGUCACUGAUUCAGCCUCCGUAUACUUUCCCUUGAAUGCCAGCUAAUAAAAAAGAUGAUGGCUUUCUUUUCCCUUCUCAUAAUAUUGCUAGCUUGGGGAGUUCUCUGGAAACCUUGCCUGAGAAGUCCAUGGCCAAAGAAAACAGCGAUACUUGGCCUUUAAAGUAUGAGCUGUGGCUCACUUAACGUCCUGUCUCUGAAACAGGCUGAGAAAGAGGGGAAGGUUUCUGGGAAGGGCUGUGGCAGAAGGUCUUAGCUGUGGCUGUGGGAUCCGCAGAUUGAAUUAGGGAAACGUCACACUCCAGAUCCCAGCCCUGGGCUUCACGUUGUGGCCAACUGGAUAGAGUCCGCUCCUUUUGAACCUGGGGAAGCCACCUUUCCCUUCGGCGAGUGCAGUGUCGGGGCUGGGGGGGGGGGUGCUUUCUCCCUGCUCCUGUCCAUGGGGGAUUAUUUCUAUUGGAAGAGGGGGGGUCCCGACUUAGCGUGAUUCCAGCCAGUGCAUUCCUUCUGCAUUGUGCGCAGAAGAGAAGGCCAUGGCCGCCCCUAAGACCUUCCUUGCCAGUAAACCCUCUUGACAGCUGGUAACUGGGAACAGGGUGCUUGCUCUUCUGGGUGGGCAAAGCCCUGUCUGGAUGUAGCUCAUGCUGGCUGGAUUUUUUUGUCACCCCCUGCCACCCCCCUCUCACCUUUAAAACAAAACAUGUACAGAAUCCAGUAUCUCUGUCCCUUCGUCUUCACCUCUGCUUUCUUUCUCCCUUCUUUUCCUCCUUCCAGUGCUGCCUUUAGCAACAGGGAGAGACGGAGUUAUAGUGGUUGAAGGUAGGGGGUGGUGGUGGUGCCACUCAGGAAAAAGAAAUCAGCUGAGAGAGAGAGAGAGAGAGAGAGAGAGAGAGAGCGAGCGAGCUUCAGGCGGGGAGGCGGGAGGAAGGCACCUUCCAAGCAUCACAGACCAGCUCCCAACCUCCCUGCGCCUCCUCUCUGAAGGAGGGUGAGGCACUUGGUUUGCGCCAACAUUAAACUGAUAAAUGAAAUUUGUACGUUAAAACAAUGAUAAUUUAAUUGUAUUUUCUUUCCUUCUUUCCCAUCCACGCUUCCUCCUCCCCCUACCUCUUACUCACUCUUCGGCUUUGGGUAAGGGGAGGGGGGGGUGGCUGUGGGGAGGGGGGGCCUUGCAAGCUGUCGGUUUGCAUUGUGCGGACGGGGAAAGGUCUCUACCUGGCUCAUUUUGUCCCCUUUGCUUAGGCUGUCACUGCUGACAGUCCUCAUGUUUAUUUCAUCUCGCGUGGUGGCUGUCUCGUUUCCCUACCCUCCGAUGUCAUUAACGCACAGAGAGCGGGCCCUGCAGUGUUGAGCCUAAUGAAUUCCGCUGUGGCUGCUCUGCUCCCCACCUCGUUACCAAAGCUCAAGGUGUCAAAUUAAACCCAGCCUAGAGAGAAAGAGAAAGUGCGGAGAGAACGCCAGAGCAGGGGAAGAGGGAGGUGCGGGGAGCACAUAAACAACCCUCCCAAAAAACGCAGGCGGGGAGAGUUGAAAAGAGAGGGACGCCACAGAUGGGUGACCCUGUCCACUUUAAGCAAGGUGACAUCCAGGUCUCUCAGUGGGACCUAAUGACCUACCCCACACGGAGUGGGGUUUUGCACCUUGGCCUUGGCUGCGGUUUGUUGCCUUUUUCUCGUUGCCUGAUUGAUUUAUCCUCAUGGUUUAUGCAGAUUGGGCACCUUGCAAACCAGGCAGAGCAGCUAGAGGGAGGGAGAACAGGCAGAGCUUAUGGAGGGUGUGUGUGUGUGUGUGUGUGUGUGUGUGUGUGUGUGUGUACGAAAGGAACACUCCUGGUUUAGUGACUCUGAUCAGCUGCAGAAAUCCAUGUUUUAAAAUGGUGGAGGGGCGCCUGGGUGGCUCAGUCGGUUGAGCAUCCGACUCUUGGUUUCGGCUCAGGUCACGAUCUCAUGGUUUGUGGGAUCAAGCACCGCAUUGGGCUGUGUGCUACGAGCAUGGACCCCUGCUUGGGAUUCUUUCUCUCCCUCUGCCCCAUUCCCUUGCUUUCUCUCUGAAUGAAUGAAUGAAUGAAUGAAUGAAUGAAUGAAUAAACAAACAAAUAAAAUGGUGGAAAGCUGGGCACCUGGCCGGCUCAGUCGGUGGAGCCUGAAACUCUUGAUCUCAGGGUCGUGGGUUCUAGCCCCACACUCGGCAUGGAGCCUACCUUAAAAAAGAAUCUUAAAAUGGUAGAAAGAGAAAAAUCAUCACAUGAAUUAAAAUUAUCCUAAUGGAGGCACUCUCUGGUGGAUUCCCUUUACCCACAUCCACCCCAAUCUGGGGAAUAAUAUUUCUGUCGUCUCUUUUGUAUAUAACAUCAUUUUAUUUACAGCAUGUUUCUCUAUGUUACUGGUAUUUUGUCAUUGGGGUAUUUUGUUUGAAUGACCUUUAAUAGUAGUCUCCAUUUCACAGGAUGGGAAGUGUGUGGAGAUGUUACCUCACUUGUUCAAGAUGAUGGGGGUGACAGGGUGACAGGGGUCAUAGUUUAGGUCUUCUCUUUUUGGAAGUUCACGUUUUUUCCCUUAUACCACAGAACUUCCUAGAUUUAGUCAAAGGUGGGAGGAGAUUGGUGCUGAAUUUUAAAAACGGCAGUAAAUUUACAUACAGUACAAUGGAUAGAACUUAAGUAUAUACUUAGCUGUGUUUGACGAGUGAAGUUACCCAUGUAACCAACACCCAGUUAAGAUGUAGAGUCCUUCCAUCACCCUGGAAAGUUUCCCUUUUUUUAAAAAAAAAUGUUUAUUUAUUUUUGAGAGAGAAACAGAGCAUAAGUUGGGGAGGGGUAGAGAGAGAGGAAGACACAGAAUCCGAAGCAGGCUCCAGGCUCCGAGCUGUCAGCCCAGAGCCCGAUGUGGGGCUCAAACCCACGAACCACAGGAUCAUGACCUGAGCUGAAGUCGGACGCUUAACCAACUGAGCCACCCAGGUGCCCCUGGAAAGUUUCCUUUUGCCACUUUGAACUUUAGUUCACCCCCAACCUCCAUUCCAGAUAACAACUGUUCAAAAUUUUUACCAUCACAGAUUAAUUUUGCCAGUUCUUACGUUUUAUAUUAUUGGAAUCAUAUGGUAUAUAUACAGUUGAUCUUUGAAUAACACGGGUUUGAGUGUGCAGGUCUAAUUUUAUGAGGAUUUUUUUCAAUAAAUACAGUAAGUGCUGUAAAUGUAUUUUCCUUAUGAUUUUCUUCAUCAAAAUUUCUGUAGCCUACUUUAUUGUAAGAAUACAAUAUGUAAUAUGUAAAACAUACAAAAUACACGUUAACGGUUUAUGUUAUUGGUAAGGCUUCUGGUUAGCAUUAUGCUAUUAUUAGUUGGUGUUAGAGGAGAUAGAAAGUUAAGAAUGGCAAAACUCAAAAACACAAGAAACAAUAAGUGUUGGCAAGGGUUUGGAGGAAGAGGACCCCUCGUGCACUGUUGGUGGGGAUGUAAACUGGUGCAGCCACUGUAGAAAGCAGUAUGGAUGUUCCUCAAAAAAUUAAAAAUAGACUUACUAUCUGAUCCAGUAAUCCCAUUACUGGGUAUUUACCCAAAGACUACAGAAACACUAAUCCAGAAAGAUAUGUGCACCGCUGUUUAUCGCUGCAUCAUUUAGACUAGCCAAAUUACGGAAGCAGCCCAAGUGUCCAUCGAUGGAUGGAUAAAGAAGAUGUGUGGUGUAUUAUAUACAGUGGAAUAUUACUCAGCCAUAAAAACAAAUGAAAUCUUGACAUUUGUGAUAACAUGGAUGGAUCUAGAGAGUAUACUGCUAAGUGAGAUAAGUCAGUCAGAGAAAGGCAAAUACCAUAUGAUUUCACUCAUAUGUGGAAUUUCAGGGACAAAGCAAGUGAACGAAGCAAAAGGACGUAAAUCAAAAAAAAACAGACUCUUAACUCUAGAGAGCAAGCAGAUGGUUACCAGAGUGGGGGUGGGUGGGAGGAUGGGGGAAGUAGGUGAAGAGAAUUCAGAAUACACUUGGGAUGUGUCCCGAGUAAUGUACAGAAUUGCUGAGCCACUGUAUUGUGUACCUGAAACGAAAGAUAACACUGCAUGUUAACUAUACUGGAGUUAAAAUGAAAAGGAAUACCUCAGUGAAUCGAUUUGCAACUACCUGCGGGGGUUGGAACUCCGAACCCCCACAUUGUUAAAAGGUCAACACUGUCCUUUUGUGCCUAGCUUUUGCUCAUUGUAAUGUUUUUUGAGAUUUUUACGUGUUGUUGCUUGGAUCGAUUGUUUAUUGCAAGUGGGUAGAUAGUCUGCUGUAUGAAUGUACCAUUAUCUGUUUAUCCAAUCUCACUUGAGGUUUUUUUUUUUUU